rnacentral:rRNA from 1 species
CCUACGGGUGGCUGCAGUGAGGAAUAUUGGUCAAUGGACGAGAGUCUGAACCAGCCAAGUAGCGUGAAGGAUGACUGCCCUAUGGGUUGUAAACUUCUUUUAUAUGGGAAUAAAACAGGGUAUGCAUACCCUCUUGUAUGUACCAUAUGAAUAAGGAUCGGCUAACUCCGUGCCAGCAGCCGCGGUAAUACGGAGGAUGCGAGCGUUAUCCGGAUUUAUUGGGUUUAAAGGGUGCGUAGGCGGGCAUUUAAGCCGGCGGUCAAAUGUCGGGGCUCAACCCCGGCCUGCCGUCGGAACUGGGUGCCUUGAGUGGGCGAGAAGUAUGCGGAAUGCGUGGUGUAGCGGUGAAAUGCAUAGAUAUCACGCAGAACCCCGAUUGCGAAGGCAGCAUACCGGCGCCCUACUGACGCUGAGGCACGAAAGUGCGGGUAUCGAACAGGAUUAGAUACCCCAGUAGUC